rnacentral:rRNA from 1 species
CGCAUCUGUGCAUGCAGCAUAUCAAUAAGCGGAGGAAAAGAAACUAACAAGGAUUCCCUUAGUAACGGCGAGUGAAGCGGGAAGAGCUCAAAUUUGAAAUCUUCAAGGUUUUACCUUGACGAAUUGUAGUUUAAAGAAGUGUUUUCUGUUGAAGUUUUGGUAAAAGUUCUUUGGAAUAGGACAUCAUAGAGGGUGAGAAUCCCGUAUUUGACCAUUAUUUUCAGCUGUGUGAUACACUUUCAAAGAGUCGGAUUGUUUGGGAAUGCAGUCCAAAAUGGGUGGUAAAUUUCAUCUAAAGCUAAAUAUUGGCGAGAGACCGAUAGCGAACAAGUACCGUGAGGGAAAGAUGAAAAGAACUUUGAAAAGAGAGUUAAACAAUACGUGAAAUUGUCAAAAGGGAAGCGUUUGACACCAGUGUUGUUUUCUCGAAAAUCAAUUAAAAGGAGUUUAGAUUUUGUUGUGUAUUGACCUUAACAGCUUGCAUUUCAAUUUUCUUGCUUUUUUUAAUGCACUUUUCGUUUAACAAGUCAACAUCAGUUUCUUUUGUUGUAAAAAGGUCAUUGGAAGGUGGCUUUCUUUUCGGAGAAAGUGUUUAUAGCCUUUGACUCCUGCAAUCGGAGAGACUGAGGUCUGCAGCGUAGAUCCUUCGGGGUUAGAUACAUUUGUGCUAAGUUAUAGCUUUUUAUAGACAACUUGUUGACUAUGAUUAGUCUUGUAGCUUACUCGCUUAUGCUAUUUUACCUACGCUUAGGAUGUUGACACACGCGCGUGCUCG